AAGACCUUCGCAUGGAGGACUUGAGAAAGACGGAGCAAUCUGUCACUUACAGAUGGGCCUGCGGCGCAUUAGCUAGUUGGUGAGGUAACGGCUCACCAAGGCGACGAUGCGUAGCCGACCUGAGAGGGUGAUCGGCCACACUGGGACUGAGACACGGCCCAGACUCCUACGGGAGGCAGCAGUAGGGAAUCUUCCGCAAUGGACGAAAGUCUGACGGAGCAACGCCGCGUGAGUGAUGAAGGUUUUCGGAUCGUAAAGCUCUGUUGCCAGGGAAGAACGCCUGAUGGAGUAACUGUCAUCAGGGUGACGGUACCUGAGAAGAAAGCCCCGGCUAACUACGUGCCAGCAGCCGCGGUAAUACGUAGGGGGCAAGCGUUGUCCGGAAUUAUUGGGCGUAAAGCGCGCGCAGGCGGUCAAUUAAGUCUAGUGUUUAAACCUAGGGCUCAACCUUAGGUCGCACCGGAAACUGGUUGACUUGAGUGCAGAAGAGGAGAGUGGAAUUCCACGUGUAGCGGUGAAAUGCGUAGAGAUGUGGAGGAACACCAGUGGCGAAGGCGACUCUCUGGGCUGUAACUGACGCUGAGGCGCGAAAGCGUGGGGAGCAAAC
rnacentral:rRNA from 1 species